GCCGGUAUCAUGGCACGCCACAAAGCAGCCCAAGACGCCUUGCUUAGCCACACCCCCAAGGGAACCCAGCAGUGAUAGACAUUAAGCUAUAAGCGAAAGCUGGACUUAGUAAAGCCAAGAGAGCCGGUAAAACUCGUGCCAGCCACCGCGGUUAUACGAGAGGCUCAAAUUGACACUCAACGGCGUAAAGAGUGAUUAAAGGAGUAAUAAAACUAAAGCCGAACCCCCCUUAGGCCGUCAUACGCUUCUAGGGGUAUGAAGCCCCAAAACGAAAGUAGCUUUAAUUAACACCCCUUGAACUCACGACAGCUAAGAAACAAACUGGGAUUAGAUACCCCACUAUGCUUAGCCUCAAACUUUGGUAAUAAAGUACAUAUAUUACCCGCCAGGGGACUACAAGCACUAGCUUAAAACCCAAAGGACUUGGCGGUGCCUCAAACCCAUCUAGAGGAGCCUGUUCUACAACUGAUAAUCCUCGUUAAACCUCACCACCCCUUGUCAACCCCGCCUAUAUACCGCCGUCGCCAGCUCACCUUGUGAAAGAUAAAUAGUGAGCCUAAUGGGAACAUCCCAGAACGUCAGGUCGAGGUGUAGCGAAUGGGGUGGGAAGAAAUGGGCUACAUUUUCUGACCUCCAGAAUAUUACGAAAAAUGCUAUGAAAUAUAGUAUACAGAAGGUGGAUUUAGCAGUAAAGAGAAAACAGAGUGUUCUCUUGAAAUCGGCUCUGUGGCGCGUACACACCGCCCGUCACCCUCCUA
rnacentral:rRNA from 1 species